AAUCGUACAGGGUCAUCCACUUU
rnacentral:ncRNA from 2 species